rnacentral:rRNA from 1 species
GUAGGGCGCAAGCGUUGUCCGGAAUUAUUGGGCGUAAAGAGCUCGUAGGCGGCUUGUCACGUCGGGUGUGAAAGCCCGGGGCUUAACCCCGGGUCUGCAUUCGAUACGGGCAGGCUAGAGUGUGGUAGGGGAGAUCGGAAUUCCUGGUGUAGCGGUGAAAUGCGCAGAUAUCAGGAGGAACACCGGUGGCGAAGGCGGAUCUCUGGGCCAUUACUGACGCUGAGGAGCGAAAGCGUGGGGAGCGAACAGGAUUAGAUACCCUGGUAGUCCACGCCGUAAACGGUGGGAACUAGGUGUUGGCGACAUUCCACGUCGUCGGUGCCGCAGCUAACGCAUUAAGUUCCCCGCCUGGGGAGUACGGCCGCAAGGCUA